rnacentral:rRNA from 1 species
GAUGAACGCUGGCGGCGUGCCUAAUACAUGCAAGUCGAGCGAAAAGACGAGGAGCUUGCUCCUCUGACGUUAGCGGCGGACGGGUGAGUAACACGAGGAUAACCUACCUAUAAGACUGGGAUAACUUCGGGAAACCGGCGCUAAUACCGGAUAAUAUAUUGAACCGCAUGGUUCAAUAGUGAAAGACGGUUUUGCUGUCACUUAUAGAUGGAUCUGCGCCGCAUUAGCUAGUUGGUAAGGUAACGGCUUAUCAAGGCUACGAUGCGUAGCCGACCUGAGAGGGUGAUCGGCCACACUGGAACUUGGACACGGUCCAGACUCCUACGGGAGGCAGCAGUAGGGAAUCUUCCGCAAAGGGCGAAAGCUUGACGGAGCAACGCCGCGUGAGUGAUGAAGGUCUUCGGAUCGUAAAACUCUGCUAUUAGUGAAGAACAAAUGUGUAAGUAACUAUGCACGUCUUGACGGUACCUAAUCAGAAAGCCACGGCUAACUACGUG